GGGGCUGUGGUGUAGCUUGGCUAGCAUUUCAGGUUUGGGGCCUGAGGACCCCGGUUCAAAUCCGGGCAGCCCCA
rnacentral:tRNA from 1 species